UAAGAAACCUUACUGAGGAAACAAAACAAACCAAAACAAAAUGGAGCAAAACAAAUGAAACAAGCAGCUAGCUUGCUGGAGACAUUGUCUGGAAAACAGUGAAAACACUUCCAAACAAAAAUAUAUCAAAGGACUAAUGCUUUGAGCUUAAUUCUAAAGAAACGUCAUAAACUCAAACUCUUGUUUAUGUUCAUAACAGAAAGCAACAGACUGGUAUAGUAACAUGUCACAUUUGAUGACUGCAGCAUAGAUGUCAGGAAUGCAGCUUGGGAUCACCUCCUUCUACUUAGAGUUUAGUUUGAAGGGAUGAGCAAGUAAUUUUUCCUGGGUUGAUGGAAAUCUGUUCUAAAGUCUGUUUUCUAACACUCUCAUAGAUACUUCUCUGUCCAUCGCUCUGUCCUGCCAACUCUGCUGUGAGUGUGAAGUUGUGGCAAGAGGGAUUUCCUAUUCCUAAUGUGACCUGGUGGACACCAACUUUCCUACUAAAUUGCCGAUGUUGCUGAGGAGGCAGCAGUAUCAAAGCCCUUGUGGAUGAAGAUAUAACAAGUUUGGGGAGGCUUUGGCAUUUCUGUACAAUGCUGCUCCCUGAUUGUGACCCAAGACUCAGAUUCUGAAGGAAGCAAAGCAAGCUGGAGGAAAACUGUAUGCCCUGGUAAUUUUUUAUUUUAUUUUAUAUUUUCAUUCUUCACCUGUAAGAAAAUCUAAAUCUUUAAACCAUUUGUUUGAAAACAGUUUUAUGGAAAUGACUAUGGGCGUGCUCCUUAACCUUCUUUGGAACCUAUUUAACCUUGCUUCAGUUAUAGGAGACCUAUGCUCAAAUUUAUGCUUACCAUGAUAAAGCGGUAUUCUUUUGGUAUUCUUUCCUUUGACGAUUGCAAGUGAGGUUGAAAGGAGUUUUCAGUAUGAUCCUUCUUUUCCUUUGCAGUCUCCAAAACUCCAUAUUAUAGCUGAUCUUCAUCUCUGAUCUGAAAAGCUUCACAGGCCAGAAGAGAAUUGAGAUGAGGAAGGAAGCAGAGAAUGCUGAUGAAUAUUUCCAAUUACCACCCCAACUUACGUCUUGGUUCUUCACAUCAAACCAGAGCAGUUUCUUUGCCUUCACAACCUGCAGACUGACCUCUCGUGUGUACCUGUGGUGGAUUGAAGGUAAUGCUUGUAAUGUUUCUAACACACCCUGAUGCUGUAUUCACUUUAACUUUUAGAAAAGAGAGCAAGAAGCUUCACAGCAGUUUCUUAGGUGCCUGUCUGUCUGUCUGUCUAUCUAUCUAUCUGUCAAUCUAUCUACCUAUAUGCAUAUAUAUUUAAUUAUUUAUUUACUUAUUUAAAGAUAUCUUUUGUUCAUUAACAUGAAUCCUCUGACUGUUACUAAUGUAUGGGACAUACCGUGACAGUAUAAUAGUGUAUAAAUACCCUUCAUCUCAUCCUUGCUAUUGUUACUGUAUUUUAAAAAUAAUUGUGCAUAUAAUUACCCGCUUUUACUCUGUUUUAAAAAAAUACCUACUUACUCGAUUAUAAAAUCCUAUAAAAAGGGGUGAACUCAAAAGGAAAGAGAAGCCAAUUUUCAUUACAUUUCUAAACUAAACAGCUAAUCCUGAUAGAUUCACUCCCUUUCAAAUAGAACACUCAAGAAAUAAAACAGUAAAAAUUCACA
rnacentral:lncRNA from 1 species